AAAGCAGUAAAAUAUGUAAAAAGAGCUAAAAUGCUGCUUAAGAUUUCCCUGACCAACAAUGUCAACCGUUUUAGAACCGACUGGAAUAUAUGUAAUACUGGAAAUAUAUAUACUGGAAACAACUUCUUGUGUUCCCUGAUGUCUGGGACCCUUUUCUUUGCUAGACUUCAGAUCUCUGAUCUGAACCAUCCCUCUUAGUUCAAGUACUCCAAUAGCCUUCAGUGUUUCCACCAAGCCGUCCUUCCACAAUUUCUCCCUCCAGGUUUCCCUUCCCCAACUUCCCCCCUGCAUCAGACUCUCCCUCAGCCUUCCUUUCUCCCUGUGCAGUCUGUCUGUCUCACUUCCGUCUUCCUCCCCAGGCGGUCUCAAUUCUCUCUCCCUCCCCUUUCCGUGUCCCUCACGGCAGUCUUUUAUUUCCUUACUUCGGUGACCGCCCCCCACCCCACUCCCCAGCCCACUCCCCACAGCCUCCCUCCACUGCUCAGCCGUUGGAGAGGGCGUGGCCCCGCGAGUAACAGCUCUCCCGCCCCACACUCCGCGGGCCCGCGCGCAGACAAAGACAUUCCACAGCUCCCGCCCCCUCCACGCCAGAAAGGGGAGGAGACACGUGUCCCGCUAGCGCCGAGUCACGUGGAAAAGGAAACGAACUGAGCCGGCUGCCUCCCGCGCAUGCGCAUCAAGCUCUGGCCUGGCGGGCGCGGAGGGAAAGCCAGAGUCGGGAGGCGACUUCUUCGGACGCCGCGGCGGUGCGCAGGCGCCGUGGCCGGACUGGGGACUUUGUUCUCCGCGGAGAAACCCAAGGGCGGUGCCGGUGGCUGGCUGCGCACGCGCGCCGCCUCAUUUCCGGUGCUCUCUCUCGCUGGGUCGCUCGGGUCGGCUUCGGUCGCUACCGCUCCAGCUCUGCCACCCCCGCCAACCGCCGCUUGGGCCUCAGUCGCUGCCGCGUCGCUUUCUCGCUCCUUGGAUCGCACAUCCUCCCAGAUGCAGCGCCGGGACGACCCCGCCGCGCGCAUGAGCCGGUCUUCGGGCCGUAGCGGCUCCAUGGACCCCUCCGGUGCCCACCCCUCGGUGCGUCAGACGCCGUCUCGGCAGCCGCCGCUGCCUCACCGGUCCCGGGGAGGCGGAGGGGGCUCCCGCGGGGGCGCCCGGGCCUCGCCCGCCACGCAGCCGCCACCGCUGCUGCCGCCCUCGGCCACGGGUCCCGACGCGACAGUGGGCGGGCCAGCGCCGACCCCGCUGCUGCCCCCCUCGGCCACAGCCUCGGUCAAGAUGGAGCCGGAGAACAAGUACCUGCCCGAACUCAUGGCCGAGAAGGACUCGCUGGACCCGUCCUUCACUCACGCCAUGCAGCUGCUGACGGCAGAAAUUGAGAAGAUUCAGAAAGGAGACUCAAAAAAGGAUGAUGAGGAGAAUUACUUGGAUUUAUUUUCUCAUAAGAACAUGAAACUGAAAGAGCGAGUGCUGAUACCUGUCAAGCAGUAUCCCAAGUUCAAUUUUGUGGGGAAGAUUCUUGGACCACAAGGAAAUACAAUCAAAAGACUGCAGGAAGAGACUGGUGCAAAGAUCUCUGUGUUGGGAAAGGGCUCAAUGAGAGACAAAGCCAAGGAGGAAGAGCUGCGCAAAGGUGGAGACCCCAAAUAUGCCCACUUAAAUAUGGAUCUGCAUGUCUUCAUUGAAGUCUUUGGACCCCCAUGUGAGGCUUAUGCUCUUAUGGCCCAUGCCAUGGAGGAAGUCAAGAAAUUUCUAGUACCGGAUAUGAUGGAUGAUAUCUGCCAGGAGCAAUUUCUAGAGCUGUCCUACUUGAAUGGAGUACCUGAACCCUCUCGUGGACGUGGGGUGCCAGUGAGAGGCCGGGGAGCUGCACCUCCUCCACCACCUGUUCCCAGGGGCCGUGGUGUUGGACCACCUCGGGGGGCUUUGGUACGUGGUACACCAGUAAGGGGAGCCAUCACCAGAGGUGCCACUGUGACUCGAGGCGUGCCACCCCCACCUACUGUGAGGGGUGCUCCAGCACCAAGAGCACGGACAGCAGGCAUCCAGAGGAUACCUUUGCCUCCACCUCCUGCACCAGAAACAUAUGAAGAAUAUGGAUAUGAUGAUACAUACGCAGAACAAAGUUAUGAAGGCUACGAAGGCUAUUACAGCCAGAGUCAAGGGGACUCAGAAUAUUAUGACUAUGGACAUGGGGAGGUUCAAGAUUCUUAUGAAGCUUAUGGCCAGGACGACUGGAAUGGGACCAGGCCGUCGCUGAAGGCCCCUCCUGCUAGGCCAGUGAAGGGAGCAUACAGAGAGCACCCAUAUGGACGUUAUUAAAAACAAACAUGAGGGGAAAAUAUCAGUUAUGAGCAAAGUUGUUACUGAUUUCUUGUAUCUCCCAGGAUUCCUGUUGCUUUACCCACAACAGACAAGUGACUGAAAACUCCUGAGGCAUUUCCUGGACUAGAAUGGGUAGUGAAGACCCAUGUCAGAAACAAGUCUCUAUGUUGCCCAAGCUGGACUCAAACUCCUGGCCUCAAGCACCUUCCCAGAGUGGUAAGGAUUACAGGCCGGGCGCAGUGGCUCACAUGUAUAAUCCUAGCACUUUGGGAGGCCGAGGUGGGCGGAUCACUUGAAGUCAGGAGUUCGAGACCAGCCUGACCAACAUAGAGAAGCCCCGUCUCUACUAAAUACACAAAAAACUCGGCCGCCCCGUCUGGGAGGUGAGGAGUGCCUCUGCCCGGCCGCCUCCCCGUCUGGGAAGGAAGUGAGGAGCACCUCUGCCUGGCCGCCUCCCCGUCUGGGAAGGAAGUGAGGAGCACCUCUGCCCGGCCACCCCGUCUGGGAGGUGAGGAGCGCCUCUGCCUGGCCACCACCCCGUCUGGGAGGAAGUGAGGAGCGCCUCUGCCCGGCCGCCCCAUCUGGGAAGUGAGGAGCGCCUCUGCCCGGCCGCCCCGUCUGGGAGGUGAGGAGCGCCUCUGCCCGGCCGCCACCUCGUCUGGGAAGUGAGGAGCACUUCUGCCUGGCCGCCCCGUCUGGGAAGUGAGGAGCGCCUCUGCCCGGUCGCCCAUCGUCUGGGAAGUGAGGAGUGCCUCUGCCCGGCCGCCCCGUCUGGGAGGUGAGGAGCGCCUCUGCCUGGCCGCCCCGUCUGGGAGGUGAGGAGCGCCUCUGCCCGGCCGCCCCGUCUGGGAGGAAGUGAGGAGCGCCUCUGCCCGGCCGCCCCAUCUGGGAAGUGAGGAGCGCCUCUGCCUGGCUGCCACCCCAUCUGGGAGGAAGUGAGGAGCGCCUCUGCCCGGCCGCCCCAUCUGGGAAGUGAGGAGCGCCUCUGCCCGGCCCCCCCGUCUGGGAAGUGAGGAGCGCCUCUGCCUGGCUGCCGCCCCAUCUGGGAGGAAGUGAGGAGCGCCUCUGCCCGGCCGCCCCGUCUGGGAGCUAUCAGAGGACUCCUGAAACCUGGAGGGCUACCUGCUGUAUAAAGGCUGGCCUGAGGGCAUUUGCUGAACACGGAGAAACCCAGGAGAGGAGAUCAGCAGUUUUCUUUCACUCCACUUGAUCUGUCAGAUUUACCCACAGAAAGCCAGUCAGGAUCCGUUAAGAGUCUUUAGGCCCAGAAUGGAGUCCUCAGGGCUGCAGGGGACUGUGGUGCUAACAAUUAAACUGUUCAAGAAUUUAAAGAGUUGAAGGGGACUAAAGGGUAUCCCUAGCAUGGCCUCCUAGAUGGGAAUGAACUGGCAACUCCUACUGUGCCAUUCCCAGUCUGUGUGCUUCCCUUUAGCCUCCCAUAGAAUUGGCUGAAACACCCUACCACCAUUUUCUGUUUUCCCCACUACCACACCUGUGUUAUGGGUGUCAGCCUGUGAGUCCUUGAACCCUUCCAGAGGGCUCCCAAGGGAGGGUGAUCACCACCCCUCCAUAAAAGGCUGAGGAAAGCCAAGUGAGAAGAUUGAAUUAAUUUGGGCAAGUUAUUUAACAUCUGAACCUGUUUUUCUCUUCAUUGUUUAUUACUUACCUUGUCCAAAAAGGUCAUAAAGGGUAGGGCUUUUUCUGUUCCACCUCUGUACUAUAUUUCUCCCCAACAAGUAUCUGCCCCUGAGGACCUCAAUAAAGGUUUGGUCAAGUGAUGAA